GAGAAGGCAUUCUUUUAUUACAUCUAUAUUAAAGAAUAUUAUAUUAUCAUCAGGCUAAUUUCCCUUGAAGUGAUCAUUCGGCAUGCACGUACCUCUCCGGCAACGGAUGUUGGGAAGAUUAUGUAUUCAACCCUCUUUGUAAUUUUGGUGAACAUCUAGUGGAUUGGGCUGACGUGAGUUGCCCCGCAGACGUAGGAGAAGUGUUCCGAACUGCGUGAUCAAUAUCUGGUUCCUGGUUUCUAUGAAACUGGAGAAAACAUUGAUAGGAUUAAAGACUAAAUUGGAAGAAGGGUAUUCAUGGACUUUACUCCGUCAGUUAGAUCAUCAGCACGGUGUGUACCUAGAUGAAGAUUAUCAAAGAACAAUUUGUCACUCCAAGCUCGCUGUUGCCUGGAGAUUAAUGGAGGAUUCUUUCGGACAAAUCUUUGAUAGCUACACAAAAAUUAACGUUAUCAAAAACGUCAUUUACAACUGUGGUUCAAAUUUCAAUAGAAUUGACUUCAAAGUCGGCUUCUACACCGCUGUCUUGGAAACAAAUGGGGAAAUAGUUUGUGUUGCAGC